GGUUCCGUAGCUCAAUCGGAAGAGCAUGUGCUUCACACGUACAAGGUAGCCAGAUCGAAACUGGCCGGAACCU